rnacentral:sRNA from 29 species
AAAGAUCGAUACCGAGGGGGGCAUGAUGCCCCGGAGAAUUCCUGCUCUGGCAGGCAGUCCAUACCGAGUACUGGCUGAAACUCCCUGUACCUUAAUAAGCUGCCACUCCGGCGUGAAGGUAUCGUUCU